rnacentral:lncRNA from 1 species
AUGUUAGAAGGGGCCCGGGUAGGCCAGAGGGAGGAGGGACUCGUUCUGUUUAAGGCAAAGUCUCGAACAGCUUCCAGGGGAAGGUGCUGGUUAAUCUGGGUUUUGAUGGAUGAACAGGAGUUUGCCGAGAAGGCAAAGAGGAGUUGGCACAUUCCAGGCAGAGGGAAGAGCCUCUGGACAGGGACGGAGGCCUGGAGGAGGCGACCCCGAGAGCACACAGUGCGAGGCUGGACCCAGAGACACUGCUUUCACUCAAGCUCGGGAAGCACGGAAGCCAGGGCGGCAGCCGACCCCGGCCCCCACCUCACCUGUCACCUGGGAAGGGGCAAUGAGGAAAGAAGUGAAGGACAGACAGAACCCAGACCAGAGCAGCCCACCAGCCGCGGGCUGCAGCCCUCCUUCCCUGUGCGAACCGGGGCUGCGGUCCCCUCCUCUGUGAGGCGGACAGUGGCCGCUUUGCUGACAGGGGACCGAGACCCAGCAGCUCUCAGUGGGCCCUCACCGCCCCAGCCCGCGGAAGGUGUCUGCACACCCAGCCCGGGCGGCACCCAGACCACUGAGCCAGAGGUCAUUCCCCUGCCCCACCAAGGCCCCUACCUCACCCUGGCCUCCCCAGGCUGCCAGCUGGGCCUGACCCCAGCAGGGAGGGUCACGCCAAACAAGGUACAUCCGCAUUGCCAAGGUCAGCUGAGCGAGCUGCAGGGCUCAGCACACACAACGCCAACCACGGACACCCCUACUCCCACCAUGGGCCACAGCCCGUCCCCUCCCCCGAAUGCAGACACGAAGCCCAGAGUGGGGGAGGGCCUCACCCAAGAUGGCAGAGUGAGGAUCAGGAUUCACACCCAAGUCAGGGUCUCCAGGGGCCCUUCUUUGCUCACUGCACACACAUGUGCGUGUGUCUGUGUGUUUAAUCCCUCCAAGGGCCUCUGCCUGCUCCCCACUUCCUCCCAUACUCCCCGCGCCCAAGUCACAUGGAACCACUGGCAGCUCCUGAUGGGCCUGCUUAUUUCACACCUGUGCCUUCUGCUGGCCGUUCCCUCUGCUUGA